UGUACAAACGUAGCAAAAUUAAAAAAUUCUAUACCAAAAAUUGAUAGUUUGAUAUAUAAUCGUAGCACUUGUUUAACAAGAAUAAUCUAAAAUGAAAUAAAUUGAUAAUGCUUUUUAAGUCUAUAUGUCAAUAUUUCAAAUCCACUGUAAGGCACAACUAAACAUAGAGAUCUCGAAGGUGGGAAUAGAGCGAGUGUCGCGUUAAUAAAUCUUGCGAGAACGUCGUCGAUACAAAAUGAUGCCAUUAGGUCAUUACUGACAAUGAGUGACAGCACGAAGACAACACAGGACAACGAGGAUCAACCCGUCACGCUCAUCUUUCUUAACUAUGGAAAAGAAAGAAUUUUCUCAUAUUGUACAUAAAGGGAUUGUAAAAAGAA